rnacentral:rRNA from 1 species
GACGAACGCUGGCGGCGUGCUUAACACAUGCAAGUCGAACGGAGUGGCGAACGGGUGAGUAACACGUGGGUGACCUGCCCUGCACUUCGGGAUAAGCCUGGGCAACUGGGUCUAAUACCGGCUAGGGUGGGAUGGGCACGCGGCCUAUCAGCUUGUUGGUGGGGUAAUGUCCUACCAAGGGGGCGACGGGUAGCCGGCCUGAGGGGGUGGACGGCCAAAAUGGGACUGAGACACGGCCCAGACUCCUACGGGAGGCAGCAGUGGGGAAUAUUGCACAAUGGGCGGAAGCCUGAUGCAGCGACGCCGCGUGGGGGAUGACGGCCUUCGGGUGGUAAACUCCUUUCACCAUCGACGCGGUAUCUAACCAGAAAGCCACGGCUAACUACGUGCCAGCAGCCGCGGUAAUUC